rnacentral:lncRNA from 1 species
CAUACAAGAGCUCUCUGGACUGAAAAAUCACAUCUCCAAGAAGAUCCAGGUUGUGUUUGGUAAGUAUCAAUUACUUCCUUCUGAAAGUGUAUUGCACGUCCUUGCACAACUUAUGAUCUUGCUUUUUAUCUAUAAGUCCUCGAUCCGCCACCCUGCAGAAUGAUUGUAUUCUAAAGCUGAAGGUGAUCUACACUUUGACACAGCAGUUGUACACUCGUGGUGUGAUGACCAUGAAGGUUGUCAUGGGGAACAGAGAGCCCGUAAAAUCCAUCAAGCAUAUGCUGGGCUGUUUGUCAACACUACCACCGCAGAUAGAGGAACUGAAGAGGUCAGCCGCCUGCAAAGGAGCACUAACUGCCCUAAGCCGGUGCUUGGGC